GGGCUUUCUCAAGCACAGUGCACCUCAUGCUUGGGUGGGCCAUGCUGCGGGUCCUCGCCUGGGGCCGGGUUGCUGCAGGGCACUGAGUCCCCGAGGCACGGGCUGUGAGACACGACAGGAACAUCUCAGCUCAUGAAUGAGGGCCUCCGUUUCCCCCUGCAGUGUAAGAAUGCCGGUGACUCAGUUAGAAGAAUGCUUCGAAGCUGUCCGUGUACUUGCCAUCCAGAAGCAGAGUCUGGGAGCUUCCGAAUUUCUCCAGAAUGCGGUUUACAUUCACCUUGACAGAUACCCAGCUUUCCCUGCACCAUUCGUUGAAUAGACUAUUCUUUCAAUGGAGUGUUGUUGGCACCCUUGUUGAAAACUGACUGUAAAUAUAAGGAGACUGAGGAUUAAGUCUUCUCUCUUUUUGGGGUAGUUCAUUAUCAAUGACUGGAAGUUGUGAGGAAAAAGAUAUUGAUUCAUCCCGAGAAAACAUUUUUCUGAGAGUCAGCAUUGAAGAGGGUGACCACUGAAGAGGGUGAUCAUUGUUGGAGUGAGACGAGCCCCGUGUUGUACGGAGUCAGCAUCCCAGUCCUGGACACUGCACUGUGCUGCGUGGCUCGAUGAGUUUUCACUGGAGGGAAUUGGUCUUACAGAGGAUGGACAUAACUCAGGCCUCUUCAGAAUGGACAAAUGAACCUGGAGAAAGACAGUCAAAUCUGUGCAGACAUUGAAGUCCACGUGAACGUGCUUUAUCCCUGAGCCAAAGAUCGGACAAGUAGGCAGCACUUCUUGAGGACAGAGGAGUGAUUUUUAAGGUUCUCCAAGAAUGAAUCCCAGGGAACCGGGAUGGCCAGUUGUCAAACUGUGACUUUGCUCUUUGGACGGUGUGCCCACCAAAGGAGAGGAAAACAAGUCUAAACUUACUUUCCAGUUGGAAAUGGAAUGGAGAGUUAACGUUGGAAGCCGGGAGAGUCUGUCCUGUGAUGAAGCGGUCUCCGAGCCACUUCAACUGGGAUGUCACGUCACUGUCUGGGCCCCUUGCUCAGCCUGUGCACAGCAUUCCUAGGAGAGAAUUCAGCAGUGCAGCAUCCUCUCUGAGCUCUAUGAGUUGAUCGGCUUCCACCGCAAGUCCGCCUUCUUCAAGCGGGUGGCCCCCGUGCAGCACGCAGCCCCCAGCAUCCCGGAGUCUGGCAGGAAGGCCUGCUACCGACUCCUUCUGCAGAUGCUUCCUGGCUACAGUCUGUCGCUGAUUCUGCAGGACUUCAACAAAGGUUUUGGAACUAAAACAUUGCUUCAGUCCGAUUAACCAUGCCUUGUUUGGGCCCUGCUCUCCUGUCUCAUCAGGGUGAAUUGUGAUUCGUGUAGAACAGGACACAGCAGACUUUUUUCUGUCAAGAGCUUGGGAGUCAAUAUUUUAGGAUCUGCAAACCUUCUGAUCUCUGGUGCAGCUGCUCAGCUCUGCUGUUCAGACGCCAGAGCAGCCGGACAGUCCACACACCCACAGAGCUUUAUUCACAGAAGUGGCUGUGGCUGGAUUGGGUGUAUGAACUGCAGUUUGUCCCCACAGCCUCCUCACUAUUGACGCCUGCAACUGAGCGUGCAUUUGCGACAAUAGGUGAACCUACACUGACACGUCAUCAUCACCCAGAGCCCAUACUUGACACUAGGAUUUACACUUGGUGGUGUGCACUCUGUGGGUUUGGACAGAUGUACAAUGACACGUUUCUACCAUCACAGCAUCAUACAGAGUAGUCUGUCUUAGUGACCCUAAAAAUGCUCCGUGCUGCACCUCAUUCAUUACUCCUUCCCCUCUAGCCUCUGACAGUAACUGAUCUUUUAGUCUCUGUGGUUUUGCCUUUCCCAGAACACCAUACAGUUGGAAUCAGACAGUUGCAGAACCUUCCCAGAUUGGCUUCUUUCACUUAGUAAUAUGCAUUUAAGGUUCCUCCAUGUCUUUCCAUGCCUUGAUAACUCAUUUCAUUUUAGCACC